UUUAACUCCAUUUGUUCAUCCUUCUUCUCCUUCAAGCUCUGUAAUCCAUCAACCUCUGCAAUCGAAUCGAUUCAACCAUCAGGUGCGUUUUGGUUCCGAUAAUCGACACCGCCACAUUAGAUAUUCUGCUUUUGUGCUCUACGACUAUCUUCAAGUUAUCGAAUUUGAUGUUGUCUUGGGGCUGUUUUGUGUUGAUUUGGUGCUUUUUGGGGCUGCAGUUGCACUUUAAAUUGAUAGGGUUCUGGUACUCGGAGGAACCAAUUAAUGGCAGCUCAAUCCUCAUUCAGCAUUCAAAGGCUCAUUUUAUGGACCUAUGG